UAGCCUUGACACUGAUUGAACACACUAGAGAUAGAGUGGUGCCCUUCGGGGAACAUGAAACCAGGUGCUGCACGGCUGUCGUCAGCUCGUGUCGUGAGAUGUUGGGUUAAGUCCCGCAACGAGCGCAACCCUCGUCCUUAGUUGCUACCAGUUCGGCUGAGCACUCUAAGGAGACUGCCUUCGUAAGGAGGAGGAAGGUGAGGACGACGUCAAGUCAUCAUGGCCCUUAUGGCUAGGGCUACACACGUGCUACAAUGGGGCGUACAGAGUGUUGCGAUACCGCGAGGUGGAGCUAAUCACUUAAAGCGUCUCUCAGUUCGGAUUGGAGUUUGCAACUUGGCUCCAUGAAGCUGGAAUCACUAGUAAUUGUAGAUCAGCAAUGUUACGGUGAAUACGUUCCCGGGUCU
rnacentral:rRNA from 1 species